rnacentral:rRNA from 1 species
GACGAACGCUGGCGGCGUGCCUAAUACAUGCAAGUAGAACGCUGAAGCUUGGUGCUUGCACCGAGCGGAUGAGUUGCGAACGGGUGAGUAACGCGUAGGUAACCUGCCUGGUAGCGGGGGAUAACUAUUGGAAACGAUAGCUAAUACCGCAUAAGAGUAGAUGUUGCAUGACAUUUGCUUAAAAGGUGCAAUUGCAUCACUACCAGAUGGACCUGCGUUGUAUUAGCUAGUUGGUGAGGUAACGGCUCACCAAGGCAACGAUACAUAGCCGACCUGGGAAGGUGAUCGGCCACACUGGGACUGAGACAAGGCCCAGACUCCUACGGGAGGCAGCAGUAGGGAAUCUUCGGCAAUGGACGGAAGUCUGAACGGGCAACGCCGCGUGAGUGAAGAAGGUUUUCGGAUCGGAAAGCUCUGUUGUAAGAGAAGAACGAGUGUGAGAGUGGAAAGUUCACACUGUGACGGUAUCUUACCAGAAAGGGACGGCUAACUACGUG